rnacentral:rRNA from 1 species
AUUGAACGCUGGCGGCAGGCCUAACACAUGCAAGUCGAACGAGUGGCGGACGGGUGAGUAAUGUCUGGGAAACUGCCUGAUGGAGGGGGAUAACUACUGGAAACGGUAGCUAAUACCGCAUACCAUCGGAGGUGCCCAGCGGGGAUUAGCUUGUUGGUGGGGUAACGGCGCCCCAAGGCGACGAUCACUAGCUGGUCUGAGAGGAUGCCCAGCCAGACUGGAACUGAGACACGGGCCAGACUCCUACGGGAGGCAGCAGUGGGGAAUAUGGCACAAUGGGCGCAAGGCGGAUGCAGCCAUGCCGCGUGGAUGAAGAAGGCCUUCGGGUUGUAAAGUACUUUAAGCGGGGAGGCGUUACCCGCAGAAGAAGCACCGGCUAACUCCGUGCCAGCAGCCGCGGUAAUAC